UCAAAACUUUUUCCAAGUAUAACCACCCCACUCUAUCAAAUGCUUUUUCAGCAUCGGUUGUAAGAAUUAUUGUUGGGGUGUCUACUUUGUGCCCGGUCUUUUGCCUAAUUUUCAGUAAUGAUAGAAUUUUAUAAAUAUUGUCUUUUCCCUCCCUUUUAGGUAUAAACCCAGCCUGGUCCUCAUGAAUUAAGUCAGUGCGCUGAAGCCAUCUGGUCCUGGACUCUUUUCCACGGCCAAGGAAUCUAUGGUGUCGCUUAUUUCUUGUGGUGUAAAAGGUUACUACCAAGAGCUAUCAACUGUCCUCUAAGCACACAUUUUUUUGUUUCCCACAGUGUCGCCAUCCCAACCUCUGGUCCUGAAUUUUCUUUUAAUAUUGUUUGCAACAUUUUCCUUAUUUUACCCUUAGUAUCUUUAUUAUGUAACAAUAAAGCGUUAA